rnacentral:lncRNA from 1 species
GAAAGAAGCACGAAAAAGGGCAUUCGGUGAAGAAAAGAAAAUAAGAAAAGAAAAUCGAGCAAAUAAGAGAAACAAACACAGUAUGUAACAUCGACUCUGAACCAAAAACCCACUUGUUUUCCGUUUUUGUUUGAAUAAUCCAUACCCUAAACAAACACAGUAUGUAACAUCGACUCUGAACCAAAAACCCACUUGUUUUCCGUUUUUGUUUGAAUAAUCCAUACCCUAACCCAAGCCAAGUUACAACCCGAAAGACCUCAAAAGUGUGUG